UACUUAAAUAAUUAUUAAGUAAUGAAAAAGUGAAAAAAGUGGCGCUAACUUUUUUCACUUUUUUUCCCUAACCUAGAUUCUGCCAAAUCUCCCACCCCCUCGCCCCUCAAAAAAAAGGAAAAAGCCCCAUCGAAUUAAACAGUUCAAUUGUAUAAACUUAAUAAGCCCCAAACUUUUCUAACAGUUAGUAAACCUCGGUUUGAACGGAAUUAGCAGAGCGAAUUAGCGAACGAAUUGAAGUUGCCCGUCACCUCCAUUGAUAACAACGGCUAAUCUUUGAGGUUCUUCUCAUCACGAUAAGGCAAAAUCAGUUAUUUACAGAUUGACGGAGGAGAAAGCUGCUUUUCUACAUCACAGCAACAAACUUCGCCAAGAAUUGGAUGCUUGGAGGACAACACUUCUUCGAAGAGUGAAGGAAACAUUGAAGGCUAAGGAGCUCGAGGAAGAUGAUCUAUCUUAAUUUGUUCCCCUUUGACCUAUUGUAAACUACUAGUACAUCCUUUAUGUGAUUUUAUUUGUACUGCUUUCAAAUAUGAUACUUUAGUUCUUUGUAUUAACAAGAUAUCAAGUAUUUGGUUUAUUUUCCA